CAUGCAAGUCGUACGAGAACCGGCUUCGGCCGGGGACAGUGGCGGAAGGGCGAGUAAUGCGCUCUUUACGUGCCCCAAGGUGGGGGAUAGGUCGGGGAAACCUGGCGUAAUACCCCAUGUGCUCUACGGUGGAAAGCCUCGGCGCCUCGGGAGCGGGGAGCGUCCCAUCAGGUAGUUGGUGAGGUAAAGGCUCACCAAGCCAAAGACGGGUAGCGGGUGUGAGAGCAUGGCCCGCCACAUCGGGACUGAGACACUGCCCGGACUCCUACGGGAGGCUGCAGCGACGAAUAUUCCGCAAUGCGCGAAAGCGUGACGGAGCAAUGCCGCGUGCAGGAUGAAGCGGCUUCGCCGUGUAAACUGCUGUCAGGGUGCAGGAAUAUUGACCAUACCCAGAGGAAGGACCGGCUAAUUCAGUGCCAGCAGCCGCGGUAAUACUGAAGGUCCAAGCGUUAAUCGGAAUCACUGGGCUUAAAGCGUACGCAGGCGGAUUUGUAGGUAUCUUGUGAAAUCCCACGGCUCAACCGUGGAACUGCAGGGUAAACCACAAAUCUUGAGACAAGUAGGGGUCAGUGGAACUAUGAGUGGAGCGGUGAAAUGCGUAGAUAUUCAUGGGAACGCCAAUGGCGAAGGCAACUGACUGGGCUUGUUCUGACGCUCAGGUACGAAAGCGUGGGUAGCGAACGGGGUAUGAUACCCCGGUAGUCCACGCCGUAAACGAUGCACACUAGGUCGCGGAGCCUCUGACGUAGUCGCGGCCGAAGCAAAAGUGUUAAGUGUGCCGCCUGGGGAGUACGGUCGCAAGGCUAAAACUCAAAGGAAUUGACGGGGGCUCACACAAGCGGUGGAGCAUGUUGCUUAAUUCGAGGCAACGCGAAGAUACUUAACCUGGGUUUGACAUGCACGGAUUAACUUUGUGAAAGCAGAGCCACACCCUUUGGGUGGAACGUGCACAGGUGCUGCAUGGCUGUCGUCAGCUCGUGCUGUGAAGUGUCGGGUUAAGUCCCUUAACGAGCGCAACCCCUAUCGUUAGUUGCUAACGCGUCAUGGCGAGAACUCUAGCGAGACUGCCGGUGUCAAACCGGAGGAAGGUGGGGAUGACGUCAAGUCCGCAUGGCCCUUAUGUCCAGGGAUGCAAACGUGCUACAAUGGUGCGUACAAAGCGAUGCAAGGUCGCGAGGCCAAGCAAAUCGCAAAAAGCGCGCCCCAGUUCGGAUUGCAGGCUGCAACUCGCCUGCAUGAAGUCGGAAUCGCUAGUAAUCGGAGAUCAGCGACGCUCCGGUGAAUACGUUCCUGAGCCUUGUACACACCGCCCGUCAAGUCAUGGAAGCCGGGAGUGCCCAAAGUCGUCAUGUUUCAAUGGCGCCUACGGCGA
rnacentral:rRNA from 1 species